GGGCCCUUAGCUCAGUCGGUAGAGCAGGUGACUUUUAAUCACUGUGUCAUAGGUUCGAUUCCUAUAGGGCCCGCCA
rnacentral:tRNA from 6 species